AUUGAACGCUGGCGGCAGGCUUAACACAUGCAAGUCGAGCGGAAGAAGGGCGCUUGCUCCUGGCUUGAGCGGCGGACGGGUGUGAUAUGCCUAGGAGUCUGCCUGGUAGGGGGGGAACAAGUCGGGAGAGGGGCGCAUAUCCCGCACAAGUCCUGGGGGAGAACGGGGGGGAGCUUGGGACCGCACGCUUGCAGCUGAGGCUAGGUCGGAUUAGAUAGUUGGUGGGGUAAAGGCACACCAAGACGACGAUCCGUAGCUGGUCUGAGAGGACGACCAGUCACACUGGAACUGAGACACGGUCCAGACUCCUACGGGAGGCAGCAGUGGGGAAUAUUGGACAAUGGGCGAAAGCCUGAUCCAGCCAUGCCGCGUGUAGGAAGAAGGCCUUCGGGUUGUAAACUGCUUUUGGACGGAACGAAGCGCAGUUAGUUAAUACCCUGCUCUAUUGACGGUACCGUCAGAAUAAGCACCGGCUAACUACGUG
rnacentral:rRNA from 1 species